rnacentral:rRNA from 1 species
ACUCCUACGGGAGGCAGCAGUGGGGAAUAUUGCACAAUGGGCGCAAGCCUGAUGCAGCCAUGCCGCGUGUGUGAAGAAGGCCUUCGGGUUGUAAAGCACUUUCAGUUGUGAGGAAGGUGGUGUCGUUAAUAGCGGCAUCAUUUGACGUUAGCAACAGAAGAAGCACCGGCUAACUCCGUGCCAGCAGCCGCGGUAAUACGGAGGGUGCGAGCGUUAAUCGGAAUUACUGGGCGUAAAGCGCAUGCAGGUGGUUUGUUAAGUCAGAUGUGAAAGCCCGGGGCUCAACCUCGGAACUGCAUUUGAAACUGGCAGACUAGAGUACUGUAGAGGGGGGUAGAAUUUCAGGUGUAGCGGUGAAAUGCGUAGAGAUCUGAAGGAAUACCGGUGGCGAAGGCGGCCCCCUGGGACAGAUACUGACACUCAGAUGCGAAAGCGUGGGGAGCAAACAGGAUUAGAUACCCUGGUAAGACAGAG